GGGGCAUUAGCUCAUCUGGCUAGAGCGCAACACUGGCAGUGUUGAGGCGACCGGUUCGAUCCCGGUAUGCUCCA
rfam:Bacteroides coprosuis DSM 18011 chromosome, whole genome shotgun sequence.